CUAGUCCAUCAGCCCAAGGAGGAUUGGCUGCAGCCAAAGCCAGUCCGGACGCUCACCGGGGCCCCGGCCGAGGUCGGGUGGGGUGCCGGGGAGCGCGGCGGGGGGUGGGGGGUGGAGAGGCGCGGGGCGGACUUGGAAGGAGGCCACCUUCUGCUGUUGACACCGCGUCAGCGCUAGGCAGCCGCCAGGGCACCCCUCCUGGCAACUUCUUCCAACAGCCCCCUCGGAUGGACCCCAACUCUCCUCUCUCACUCCUGGCUUAGGCGGUGGGGCACAAAGAAAUCUCAGUCUCCGUAAACUUUGCGCUCCCAGUUAUGCCGCCCCCUCCCCUAGCCUCCAUUCCACCCCACCCCCCUUCCCCCCGCCCUCCCAGGUUCUUGGCAGGAAGGUUAGGCCCCUGGCAAAAUCCUCGGGCGAGAGCCAGCUGAUCACAAAUGCCAACUGUGUGUCUUGGGGCCAGUUAAGUCCUCUCAUCUGCCGGGGCUCUCAGGAGACCAUUUCAUUGCUCUCGGGGUUCCCUGGAGACCGCCCUGGACGUGGACCAUCCCCCACUCGGCCCGCGCAGAUGGGAUGCUGCUGAGCGCUGUCCUUAAAGCGCGCUGUCUCCCCUGGAGCUUUCCUGUCAUAUUGUAAAAAAAUUCCAAAUUUGGAGACAGGCAGAUAUUUUUCUCACAUCAAAAAGGAGGACCACUAGGUGAUUAGCCCUAGGAGGGAAAGGAACCAUCUCUCAUCAGAUCCUAACUUUCCGAGGAAGUCUGUGGAAGUUCUGAUGUCCCGCCCCAGCCAGCCCCAUGACCUUUAAUCCUUUUAGUUCUGCGGCAGGGAAGCAGCGACGACUAAUAAAAGAUUUGAUCUUGCCAUAAUUUCCCAAGCAGAAUGACAGCCCCAGUGCUGGACACACAGAAGAUCUAACAUAAAUUGAAAGAAAACCGUGCUGGAACUUCUCUGUUGGACUCCUGGACUUCCAGAAAGGCUGGCUCAUCCACGGGUGAUUGCCUAGAUCAGUGUUCUCCAGGGCUCCUGGAUCCUGGUCAAGAGAGCCUAGAGCCAGUUCAUGGGCCACGUCAGGAUCCACAACCAGGACCAAGAGAAUUGUCUUAUCUUAGAAGUUGGAACCUGUGGACCUGAGACUUCCUUCUAGCUGCAGCAGAACAUGGAAAAGUAAGGAAGUCUGAUCAUCGCUCCUCAGUGUUAUUCAAUAAAACGCUUAGAUUAAUUAGCAAUUGCAAGAAACCCACAAGAUACAAGGUCUAUUGCUUGUCUCCGUGUUUUCCAGCAAUGAUUCCCUACCCCAUUAUAUGCACUUCGAGGCGCUGAAGACUGUCUCGGUUAGUAAGAGAACUUUGUCUGGAUGAGGUACUGAACUAUCUAAAUAAGCCAAUCUGAGAUGAUUGGUACUGGCAGCUAAGAAAAGCCACUUUGUUUACCAUCUCCUUCUCCAAAAUAUCACUCAUUCAUUUCUUCAAUAAAUAUAGGAGGGGGCAAAUGUAGGAUUAUAGUUGUGAGUAGGCAAAACAGUUUAUUUUUGUAUUAUUGUUUAUAAAUUAUUGUAUUAUUUUCCGUAUGAACAACUGUAAACCUACUUUUGCCCCACCCUGUAUUUGUUGAGGCCAGAACUUAAAGUGGAGAUAUAGUGAGAACAUACCAGGUGGCAGGUUACAGUAGUUUAAAAGGACGAAUAAAAGGGGUCCUUUGUUGCUUCAAACAGCAUCUGUUGUCAUAAUUAGCAAACUGUUAGCUUGAGAGAUUAAAAUUUAAAUAGACUAUGAUCUUUCCUCUGAUGACCCCUGUCCCCAUCACUGGAAGGUACUCUUCCAGUCUGACCACUGCCAGGCAGUAGUUCAACCAAUUGUCUCAACCUUUUCAACUGAAUAAUCCCUUCUCUACAAGGCAUCUACAAUAUGCUGUGUAUGUGUAGAAAGAAAAUUCAUGCUUAGCCUGUAAAAACCUAGCAGAUGGUACAGUAAUUUGUAUAUACAUAUGUGCAUACAGGAUAUGUUCUUGGAGAAUGAAUCAGAUGCAUGUUAUACUUAUUUAAAUGUUUCAUCAUAUUUAAUUUUAAUUCAUUUAUUCAUAGUUUUAACCUCGGUAAGAACAUUCAUUAUUUAAAUUAAUAGACAGGUAAACGGCAUCAACAAACCUGCAGCAUUUAAUGUUGAAGAUAACUGACAUGCAUGAACUCAUUGUAUUAAAAUAUUGGUUUUCCUAUUGUUUUGCACAGAUGGUGCUAGUAAUUAAUAUUAUGCUUUUUUUUUUCAUCAGGGGAUUCCCUGCUAACAAAAUUCACUUAGUGAAAAAAAUUCACAUAGUCUACAAUAAAUUGUAACAUUAUGUCAUUUGAAUCGCUGAUUUAUUAACGGUGAUGUACUAUCUCAGAUGCAAAUCUUAUAAUGUUCCUAAUGGUCAAUACGUUAUCGAAUUCAAUGAAUUUUAAAAAUUGGCCAGUGUGAUCUACUUCGGGGAAAAUUAUUAACAAUGGGUUCUAUGCCAUCUGGUCUGAAAACAACAGCACAGGCAUUUCAAGAUACACGGGCACUAAAAGUAACAAGGAACAGCAUUGCUUACAUCUUAAAAAAGGAAAAAAAAAAAGAAAAGGGGGGGGGAAGAAAGGUCUCCUUAAAGGGAGGUAUCUUUCCUGAGUGGCCAAUAGAUGUAUUCUAUUACAUACCAGAUGUUGGGGGAUCUCAGUAGGGUUAUACAUGAACACAUGACCUUACGUAGAAACUUAAAAACCCCCGUCUUUAUAAGCAACCACUCUAUUAAGCAAAAAUCCUCAAUAAGUUGGCAUCUCAUAACGCCAGGAAGAACCGUUCUAUGGCUUCUACCUGAAUAAGGGCCCUUGCGGUGAGUCCUAGGAAACAUAUCUGAAUUUGGCUAGCACCUCCCACAGAGGGCAUCCAAAGGAGAAAAUUGAUGUUAAUAAAGCUCUCCUUAUGCCCUUUUUUUUUUUUUUUUUUUUUUUUUAAGAGGAAUCACAGUAUAACAAGCUAGUUUCAUUUCGGAAGGAUUUUUAAAUAAGAUGUCUAAAUGAUCAUUCCUUAUUUCUAAAAUGGCAUGAACAUGCUGGUUGAAUUACACCGAACUCUCAAAACAGCAACUUACUGGCCAGAGAAUUAGCAAACAAGAUUUUUCAAGUGAGGAAACACACAGUAAACAAAAGGCACCUGGAUUUCUGGCCUUUGCCUUCUAAAGCGAGGAUUUGGGUAGAACCUCCAUGCAACCCUCCCAGGCCUUUGAUGAGUUUUCCUUGGCUCCUCUCUACCCAUGGUCCUGGGUCUUAGUACAGAAACUUCUUAGUUUGGCACACGAGGAUGCAAGGACAGCCCCGAAUCAUCUCGCUUAAGGGGAGCUCGAAGGGUAAUACUCUUUCACAUCACCGAGUGUCACCUUUCUGGGUUCAUGAGUACUCAGUUUUGUUAAUGAGGCAGCAGACCCUUGUGGUCUAACGUAGGUAGCUUAGCAUGUAAGUAUCGCUUCUGCUUCUUGUCUGAGGAGCAACCCUGGCAGAUUACCCCGGACCAGAGCUUCGGCAUGGGGCUCAGUGCCUGUGACGACAGAGUCGGGAAUGCAAAAUGAGUUGAACGAACUAGAAUACCAUCCUUUUAUAAAAAAUUCAAGGGCUCACCAGUAUUCACAUCCUUGCUCUUAAGUUCUGAGGGCUGGUGUGGGAUUCUCUAACUUGUUGGCAAAAAUGCAGCUCAGUCAUCACCUAUGACAGAAAAGUGACGCGUCUGUAAGUAGCCCCUGAGCCUGGUUGAGCUUCCGCCCUGAAGGAGGUCUCUUUUUGUCUUUAAAAAUUCUUUCUGUGGUCAUCAUGGAAAGAACCUGUAUGCACUCUGAUUUUCAAACUAAAAGCGUGUCAUACCGUAUAACACAAUAUGAAAGAGAGCCAGUAUGUGAAACUUAUGAUUGCAAAUAUCCAUAUCCUUGGCUUUAAUCUCUUUUAUUAUAAAGAAAUGGGGCCCUUGGCA